rnacentral:rRNA from 1 species
AUUGAACGCUGGCGGCAGGCUGAACACAUGCAAGUCGAGCGAGCGGCGGACGGGUGAGUAAUGUCUCGGAAAUUGCCUGACGGAGGGGGAUAACUACUGGAAACGCUAGCUAAUCCCGCAUACCAUCAGAUGUUCCCAGAUGUGAUUGGCUAGACGGUGGGGUAAUGGCUCACCUAGGCGAGUACCCAUGGCUGGUCUGAGAGGAUGACCAGACACACUGGAGCUGAGACACGGUCCAGCCUCCUACGGGGGGCAGCAGUGGGGAAUAUUGCACAAUGGGCGCAGGCCUGAUGCAGCCAUGCCGUGUGUGUGAAGAAGGCCUUCGGGUUGUAAAGCACUUUCAGCGAGGAGGCGUGACUCGCAGAAGAAGCACCGGCUAACUCCGUGCCAGCAGCCGCGGUAAUA